rnacentral:piRNA from 1 species
UCGGACAAGAAGAAUAGAUCG